UACAGAGGGUGCGAGCGUUAAUCGGAAUUACUGGGCGUAAAGCGCGCGUAGGCGGCUUUUCAAGUCGAUUGUGAAAUCCCCGGGCUUAACCUGGGAACUGCAGUCGAGACUGUCUAGCUAGAGUAUGGGAGAGGGAAGUGGAAUUUCAGGUGUAGCGGUGAAAUGCGUAGAUAUCUGAAGGAACAUCAGUGGCGAAAGCGACUUCCUGGACCAAUACUGACGCUCAUGUGCGAAAGCGUGGGGAGCAA
rnacentral:rRNA from 1 species